rnacentral:rRNA from 1 species
GUUUGAUCCUGGCUCAGAACGAACGUUAGCGGCGCGCCUAACACAUGCAAGUCGAGCGAGAAGGGGGCAACCCCUGUAAAGCGGCGCACGGGUGAGUAACACGUAGGUAAUCUACCUCGAGGUGGUGGAUAACCUUCCGAAAGGAGGGCUAAUACAGCAUGGGACCACGUCUUCGAAAGAGGAUGAGGUAAAAGCGGGCCUCUAUACAUAAGCUCGCGCCACGAGAUGAGCCUGCGGCCCAUCAUGGUAGUUGGUAGGGUAACGGGCCUACCAAGCCGAAGACGGGUAGCUGGUCUGAGAGGAUGAUCAGCCACACUGGAACUGAGACACGGUCCAGACUCCUACGGGAGGCAGCAGUGGGGGAAUCUUGCGCAAUGGGCGAAAGCCUGACGCAGCGACGCCGCGUGAGUGAU